rnacentral:rRNA from 1 species
AUUGAACGCUGGCGGCAGGCCUAACACAUGCAAGUCGAACGAGUGGCGGACGGGUGAGUAAUGCAUGGGAAUCUGGCUGAUGGAGGGGGAUAACGACGGGAAACUGUAGCUAAUACCGCAUACCAUCGGAUGAACCCAUGUGGGAUUAGCUAGUUGGUGGGGUAACGGCUUACCAAGGCGACGAUCCCUAGCUGGUCUGAGAGGAUGACCAGCCACACCGGAACUGAGACACGGCCCGGACUCCUACGGGAGGCAGCAGUGGGGAAUAUUGCACAAUGGGCGCAACCCUGAUGCAGCCAUGCCGCGUGUAUGAAGAAGGCCUUCGGGUUGUAAAGUUCUUUCAGUGGGGAGGCGUUACUCACAGAAGAAGCACCGGCUAACUCCGUGCCAGCAGCCGCGGUAAUUC